rnacentral:lncRNA from 1 species
CUUCCAGCUCGUUUUCGAUGUUGCGACUUUCGAAUCGUCGAUCGGCUCGUUAAACUUGAUCUAGAGUAUUUGAAGUACCUAGAAAAUAAUUUAUGAUUUUACGAUAUCAUUUGCCUAGUGACCGAAGGGGCUCAAAAUCAACGGCUGAAAAAAAAAUCUUACAAAAUGUAAUAAUAUGACAUUAAAUUUUAAAUCAAAGAUAUUGAUCUUGUUUAUAUAGUAUAAGAAUUUCUAUCAAAUUUCACGUGAUUUGAGAAUUUUCUACACCGUUAAACUGCAAACGGCUCACUACGGCCAUUAAAAUUCGUAUUUUGAGCUCAUUCGAUCACUAGGCAAAUGAUAUCGAAAAUUAAUAAAAUUUAUUUUCUAGGUACUCCAAAAACUCUAGAUCAAGUUUAAACGAGCCGAUCGACGAUUCGAAAGUCCAACAUCGAAACAGCUGGAAGCAUGAAAGGCUCCGUGCUUCCGAUAGCAUAGUAGCCUCACUCUAUAUAUUAUACUAGAUAUAUGAUACUUAUAAUAAGAAGAGUAAGAAUACUUUUAGAAGCACCAAAGAGGUGGUGCUUCUAAGUUUUUAGCCCUUGGAUCUACUCCUUGAUUAUUAAUAGCAUUUGGAUCAAACACUAUUCCAUCUACCACCACCUACCACCACCUACCAUCAUCAUCCCAACCCUACAUUUCUCCAUCCAAGGGUUAAAAACUCAAAAGCACCACCUAUUUGGUGCUUUUGGAAGUAUUCUAACUCAAUUAUAUAUAUAUAUAUAGGGUUAAUUACACCAAUAGUCCCUAACCUUUAUACUGUUUUUCAAUUUGGUCCCCAAUCUUUUUUUUUUUUGCAAUCAAGUCCCUAAUCUUUUGAUUUCAUUUCAAUUAAGUCCCAGCUGUUAAAUAGCUGUUAAAAUUGACGAAAAAUACCACGUCAGUACCACGUCAGCGCCACGGAGACGCCAUGUAAGCACCACGGUGACGCUGUGUCAGCGGAUUGCAAAAAACAAAAAGGUUAGGGACCAAAUUGAAAAACGAUGCAAAAAUUGACCCAUGGUGUAAUUAAUCCAUUAAAUUUAUAAAUUCAAAAAAAAAUUUAAUUUAAUAUUUAAAUUUUAAAUUUAAAUUUUGAUUUUGGAUUCAAAUUUAAAUUGGAAUUCAAAUUCCGAUUUUGUAUUUAAUUUUAAAUUCAAAUUCACAUUUGGAAUUAUAAAUUCUAAUUUAAUUUCAAACUUUGAUUUGAAAUUUCAAAUUCAAAAUGUGAAUUUGAAUUCAAAGUUUAAAUUCAAAUUUAGAAUUGAAAUCAAAUCUUAAAUUCAAAUUUAAAUUUUGAAUUCAAAUUUAAAAUUUAAAAUCAAAAUUUUGAAUAUGAUUUUAAAUUUAAAUUCAGAUUUUAAAUUUAAAUUUCGGUUUCAAAACUUUCAUUUUAAAUGUAAAUUGAAAUAUCAAAAUCAAAAUCAAAAUUUUAAGUUUGAAUUCAAAAUUUAGAUUCAAUUAAAAAUUUAAAUUUAAAAUUUGGAAUUUCAAUUCAAAAUUUAAAUUCAGCUUAAUUCAAAUUCAAAAUUCUAAUUUCUCGUUAGUUUUUAAAAUUUAAUUUUAAUAUUAUUUUUGAAUUUAAAUCUUAAAUUUGAAUUUUACUUUUUUGUGACUAAAAUGAAAAAUGUGCAAAAAUUUGGUACUUAAAUUGAAUAUGCAAAAGGUUGCCAAAUAAACGUUGACGUGGAAAUUCGUUAAUUUAAUAGUUUUUUAACGGUUGGGACGUAAAUUGUAAUAAAAUCAAGAUGUUAGGGACUCAAUUGCAAAAAAUAAACAAGAAGGUUGGGGACUCAAGUGAAAAUUGGUGAGAAGGUUGGGACAUACCUGUGUAAUUAACCCUAUAUAUAUUAUUUAUAUAUAUAUAUAUAUAUAUGAGAGAGAGAGAGAGAGAGGAGAGAGAGAGAGAGAGAGAGAGAGCAGGAAUGCUGUGCUCUCAGGAGCACGGAGGGCUCUCCGUGCUCCUGAGCCGUUUUCGAUGAUGGAAUUUUCGAAUCGACGAUCGGCUCCGUUAGACUUGAUCUAGCGUAUUUGAAGUUUCUAGAAAAUAAUUUUUGCGAUUUUUCGAUAUCGUUUACCUAGCAAUUGAAAGGAUUCAAAAUUAAUAAUUUUUAAUGGCUGAAAAUAAAAAUCCUAUAAAAAGUGGUGAUAUAGCGCUAAAAAUUUCGAUCAGAAAUAUUGAUCUUGUUGUAGAUAGUAUAAAGAAUUUUGUAUCAAAAUUUUAUCUGAUUUGAAUACUUCUAUACCGUUAAACUUGAAAACGGCAGAUAUCAACCAUUAAAAAUUAUUAAUUUUGAAUCCUUUCGAUCACUAGGUAAAUGAUAUCAAAAAAUCGUAAAAAUUAUUUUCUAGAAACUUCAAAUACCCUAGAUCAAGUCUAACGGAGCCGAUCGUCGAUUCGAAAAUUCCAUCAUCGAAAACGGCUCAGAAGCACAGAGGCCUCCGUGCUCCUAAGAGCACAGCGGCCCUGCUCUCUCUCUCUCUCUCUCUCUCUCUCUCUCUCUCUCUCUCUUUCUCUCUCUCUCUCUCUCUAUAUAUAUAUAUAUAUAUAGUGAGGCUACUAUACUUUUGGAAGCACGGAGCCUUCCGCGCUUCCAGGUCGUUUUCUAUAUUGCGACUUUCGAAUCGUCGAUCAGCUCCAUUAACUUGAUCUAGAAUAUUUGAAAUACCUAGAAAAUAAAUUAUGCGAUUUUUCGAUAUUAUUUACCUAGUGAACGAAGGGGCUCAAAAUCAACGGCUGAAAAUAAAAAUCUUACAAAACAUGAUAAUAUGACAUUAAAAUUUUAGAUCAAAGAUAUUGAUCUUGUUUAAUAUAGUAUAAAGAAUUUUUAUCAAAAUUUCACGUGAUUUGGAUAUUUCUACACCGUUAAACUUGUAAACGGCUCACUACGGCCAUUAAAAUUAUUGAUUUUGAGCCCCUUCGAUCACUAGGCAAAUGAUAUAGAAAAAUCAUAAAAUUUAUUUUCUAGGUACUUCAAAUACUCUAGAUCAAC